rnacentral:rRNA from 1 species
GACGAACGCUGGCGGCGUGCUUAACACAUGCAAGUCGAAUGGAAAGGCCCUGCUUUUGUGGUGUGCUCGAGUGGCGAACGGGUGAGUAACACGUGAGUAACCUGCCCUUGACUUUGGGAUAACUUCAGGAAACUGGGGCUAAUACCGGAUAGGAGCUCCUGCUGCAUGGUGGGGGUUGGAAAGUUUCGGCGGUCGGGGAUGGACUCGCGGCUUAUCAGCUUGUUGGUUGGCUAGUGGCUUACCAAGGCUUUGACGGGUAGCCGGCCUGAGAGGGUGGCCGGGCACCAUGGGACUGAGAGACGGCCCAGACGCGUACGGGAGGCAGCAGUGGGGAAUAUUGCACAAUGGGCGGAAGCCUGAUGCGGCAACGCCGCGGGCGGAAAGACGGCCUUCGGGUAGAAAACCGCAGUCGCCUGUGACGAAGCGGGAGUGACGGUAAUGGGUAAAGAAGCACCGGCUAACUACGUG